AUUGAACGCUGGCGGCAGGCCUAACACAUGCAAGUCGAACGAGUGGCGGACGGGUGAGUAAUGUCUGGGAAACUGCCCGAUGGAGGGGGAUAACUACUGGAAACGGUAGCUAAUAACGCCUACCAUCGGCUGUGCCAAGAUGGGAUUAGCUAGUAGGGGGGGUAACGGAGCACCUAGGCGACGAACCCUAACUGGUCUGAGAGGAGGACCAGUCACACUGGAACUGAGACACGGUCCAGACUCCUACGGGAGGCAGCAGUGGGGAAUAUUGCACAAGGGGCGCAAGCCUGAUGCAGCCAUGCCGCGUGUAUGAAGAAGGCCUUCGGGUUGUAAAGCACUUUCAGCGAGGAGGCGUUACUCGCAGAAGAAGCACCGGCUAACUCCGUGCCAGCAGCCGCGGUAAUUC
rnacentral:rRNA from 1 species